AACGAACGCUGGCGGCAUGCCUAACACAUGCAAGUCGAACGAGACCUUCGGGUCUAGUGGCGCACGGGUGCGUAACGCGUGGGAAUCUACCCUCAGGUUCGGAAUAACUCAGAGAAAUUUGAGCUAAUACCGGAUGAUGACGUAAGUCCAAAGAUUUAUCGCCUGAGGAUGAGCCCGCGUAGGAUUAGGUAGUUGGUGAGGUAAAGGCUCACCAAGCCGACGAUCCUUAGCUGGUCUGAGAGGAUGAUCAGCCACACUGGGACUGAGACACGGCCCAGACUCCUACGGGAGGCAGCAGUGGGGAAUAUUGGACAAUGGGCGAAAGCCUGAUCCAGCAAUGCCGCGUGAGUGAUGAAGGCCUUAGGGUUGUAAAGCUAUUUUACCCGGGAUGAUAAUGACAGUACCGGGAGAAUAAGCGCCGGCUAACUCCGUG
rnacentral:rRNA from 1 species